rnacentral:lncRNA from 1 species
ACCUGCCUGUCCCGCGCUUCCCGGCCGGCCGGCCCGCUGGCGGGUGGCUCGGAGGGCGAGCUGGCGGGCCGGCGGGCGGCGGGGCUACCCGGCCCCAGACAUGGCGCACCCGACUUGGGCGCCGCUCCCGCCCGGGCAGUGAGUGAAGGAAGAAGAGGCGGCCGAGGACCGCAGAGCGCGGGGCGCAGUGGAAGGAGAUCCGGGCGGUCCCCGCGUCCCCGCCGCGCUGCGCCACGCGGGGACUGUGCUGCCGCGCUGCUCGCUCGGCCGGCUCGGUCCUCCCAGCUCCCGCGGCGCCGGGGACCCAGCGUUCCUCCGCGCGCCCCGCUUUCUCUACUCCCCCAACCCCCGCUCCGGGCCGCGGGCGCCGC